GACGAACGCUGGCGGCGUGCUUAACACAUGCAAGUCGAGCGGAAAGGCCCUUCGGGGUACUCGAGCGGCGAACGGGUGAGUAACACGUGAGUAAUCUGCCCUUGGCUUCGGGAUAGCCACCGGAAACGGUGAUUAAUACCGGAUACGACAACUUCUCGCAUGGGAUGGUUGUGGAAAGUUUUUCGGCCAGGGAUGUGCUCGCGGCCUAUCAGCUUGAUGGUGAGGUAAUGGCUCACCAUGGCUUCGACGGGUAGCCGGCCUGAGAGGGUGACCGGUCACACUGGGACUGAGACACGGCCCAGACCCCUACGGGAGGCAGCAGUGGGGAAUAUUGGACAAUGGGCGGAAGCCUGAUCCAGCAACGCCGCGUGAGGGAUGACGGCCUUCGGGUUGUAAACCUCUUUCGGUGGGGACGAAGCGCAAGUGACGGUACCCACUAAAGAAGCACCGGCCAACUACGUGCCAGCAGCCGCGGUAAUACGUAGGGUGCGAGCGUUGUCCGGAAUUAUUGGGCGUAAAGGGCUCGUAGGCGGUUUGUCGCGUCGGGAGUGAAAACGCCGUGCUUAACACGGCGCUUGCUUUCGAUACGGGCAGACUAGAGGUAUUCAGGGGAGAACGGAAUUCCUGGUGUAGCGGUGAAAUGCGCAGAUAUCAGGAGGAACACCGGUGGCGAAGGCGGUUCUCUGGGAAUGACCUGACGCUGAGGAGCGAAAGUGUGGGGAGCGAACAGGAUUAGAUACCCUGGUAGUCCACACCGUAAACGUUGGGCGCUAGGUGUGGGGUCCAUUCCACGGAUUCCGUGCCGCAGCUAACGCAUUAAGCGCCCCGCCUGGGGAGUACGGCCGCAAGGCUAAAACUCAAAGGAAUUGACGGGGGCCCGCACAAACGGCGGAGCAUGCGGAUUAAUUCGAUGCAACGCGAAGAACCUUACCUGGGUUUGACAUACACCCUGCCGCUCCAGAGAUGGGGCUUCUUUUGGGGGUGUACAGGUGGUGCAUGGCUGUCGUCAGCUCGUGUCGUGAGAUGUUGGGUUAAGUCCCGCAACGAGCGCAACCCUCGUUCUAUGUUGCCAGCACGUAAUGGUGGGGACUCAUAGGAGACUGCCGGGGUCAACUCGGAGGAAGGUGGGGAUGACGUCAAGUCAUCAUGCCCCUUAUGUCCAGGGCUUCACGCAUGCUACAAUGGCCGGUACAAAGGGCUGCGAUCCCGUGAGGGGGAGCGAAUCCCAAAAAGCCGGUCUCAGUUCGGAUUGGGGUCUGCAACUCGACCCCAUGAAGUCGGAGUCGCUAGUAAUCGCAGAUCAGCAACGCUGCGGUGAAUACGUUCCCGGGCCU
rnacentral:rRNA from 1 species